rnacentral:rRNA from 1 species
AGAGCGAACGCUGGCGGCAGGCUUAACACAUGCAAGUCGAGCGGCCGUAGCAAUACGGCAGUGGCAGACGGGUGAGUAACACGUGGGAAUGUACCUCUCGGUUCGGAAUAACUCAGGGAAACUUGAGCUAAUACCGGAUACGCCCUUACUGGGAAAGAUUUAUCGCCGAGAGAUCAGCCCGCGUCCGAUUAGCUAGUUGGUGGGGUAAUGGCCCACCAAGGCGACGAUCGGUAGCUGGUCUGAGAGGAUGAUCAGCCACACUGGGACUGAGACACGGCCCAGACUCCUACGGGAGGCAGCAGUGGGGAAUCUUGCGCAAUGCGCGAAAGCGUGACGCAGCAACGCCGCGUGAGGGAAGAAGGCCUUCGGUUGUAAACCUCUUUCAGAAGGGACGAAGGGUCGGCCGCGAAGUAGCGAGCCGGCGUUGACGGUACCUUCAGAAGAAGCCCGGCUAACUACGUGCCAGCAGCCGC